AUUCACCCCAUUUGGGACCAUUUGGGGUCCAUUUCCCCCCAUUUAGGGCCAUUUUGGGGUCAAUUCACCCCAAUUUGGGGCCAUUUCCCCCCAUUUAGGGACAUUUUGGGUCACUUUACCCCAAUUUGAGGCCACUUUGGGUCCCUUUGCCCCCAUUUUGGGUCCAUUUCCCCACAUUUAGGGCCAUUUUGGGGUCCAUUUCCCCCAAUUUGGGUUCAUUUCCCCCCAUUUAGGGCCAUUUUGGGUCCAUUUCCCCCAUUUAGGGCCAUUUUGGGCCCAUUUCCCCCCAUUUAGGGCCAUUUUGGGCUCCAUUCACCUCAAUUUGGGGCCAUUUGGGGUCCUUUUCCCCCCAUUUAGGACCAUUUUGGGGUCAAUUCCCCCCAUUUUGGGUCCAUUUUCCCCCAUUUAGGGCCAUUUUGGGUCCAUUUCCCCCAUUUAUGGCCAUUUUGGGCCCAUUUCCCCCAUUUAGGACCAUUUUGGGCCCAUUUCUCCCCAUUUUGGGGUCAAUUCCUCCCAUUUGGGGUCCAUUUCCCCCCAUUUAGGGCCAUUUUGGGGUCCGUUUCCCCCAAUUUAGGGCCAUUUUGGGGUCAAUUCACCCCGAUUUGGGUCCAUUUCCCCCCAUUUAGGGCCAUUUUGGGCUCCAUUCACCCCAAUUUGGGGCCAUUUGGGGUCAAUUCCCCCCAUAUGGGGUCCAUUUCCCCCAUUUAGGACCAUUUUGGGCCCAUUUCUCCCCAUUUUGGGGUCAAUUCCUCCCAAUUUGGGUCCAUUUCCCCCCAUUUAGGGCCAUUUUGGGGUCCAUUUCCCCCCAUUUAGGGCCAUUUUGGGGUCAAUUCCCCCCAAUUUGGGUUCAUUUCCCCCCAUUUAGGGCCAUUUGGGGUCCAUUUCCCCCCAUUUUGGGGUCAAUUUCCCCCCAUUUAGGGCCAUUUGGGUCCAUUUCCCCCCAUUUAGGGCCAUUUGGGGUCCAUUUCCCCCCAUUUAGGGCCAUUUUGGGCCCAUUUCUCCCCAUUUUGGGGUCAAUUCCCCCCAAUUUGGGUCCAUUCCCACCAUUUUGGGUCCAUUUGGGGUCCAUUUCCCCCCAUUUAGGGCCAUUUUGGGCCCAUUUCUCCCCAUUUUGGGGUCAAUUCCCCCCAUUUUGGGUCCAUUUCCCCCAUUUAGGGCCAUUUUGGGGUCAAUUCCCCCCCAUUUAGGGCCAUUUGGGGCCCAUUUCCCCCCAUUUAGGUCCAUUUUCCCCCAUUUAGGACCAUUUUGGGCCCAUUUCUCCCCAUUUUGGGGUCAAUUCCUCCCAUUUGGGGUCCAUUUCCUCCCAUUUAGGGCCAUUUUUGGGUCCAUUUCCCCCCAUUUAGGGCCAUUUUGGGGUCAAUUCCUCCCAUUUUGGGUCCAUUUCCCCCCAUUUAGGGCCAUUUGGGGUCCAUUUCCCCCCAUUUAGGGCCAUUUUGGGGUCAAUUCACCCCCAUUUCCCCCAAUUUGGGUCCAUUUCCCCCCAUUUAGGGCCAUUUUGGGGCCGUUUUGGGGCCGUUUGGACCCUUUUAUUCCCCCCCCCCCCCCCCAACGUCUCCCCACGGGGGGGGGCAGCAGCUGUGGGGCUGAGGCUCCGCCCCCCCCCCACCUGUCCCCUCCCCCCCUAUGGGGGCUCUAUUUUGGGCCCAUGUCCAUAUAGGGCCAAAGCCGUUCGCCCUCACACCCCCCCCCCCCCCCCAGGGCACCGCUAUGGGGCAGCUAUGGGCGGGAGGGGGGGGCUAUGGGCGUGGGGGUGCUAUGGGGCAGGAGGGGGGG
ensembl:lncRNA